rnacentral:tRNA from 1 species
GUGCCUGUAGCUCAGAGGGGUAGGGCACCGGCCCCAUAUGCCGGAGGUGGCAGGUUCAAACCCAGCCCUGGCCA